rnacentral:lncRNA from 1 species
UUGGUUCUGCUGUGCCUUGCUUGCUUCUCGUCUCUGCAGAGCAGUUUCGCUUGGAAUGAAUGAUUGUUGAUUGAGCAAAUUUGGUUGUGAAAAUGCAGACGGACACAGCUUCUGUUCUUCAGGAGGCCUCGGGCUACAUCAAGUUCCUGCACCAGCAGCUCGAGGUUCUUAGCUCCCCGUACAUGCGCCCUCCUCCGGCGCCCGGCGCCGAGCCUGAGGUGAGAGAGAGCUCACGCUGUUAUUUUAGCUGAUCGUUGCACACUAUUCUGAAGUUCCCUGAACAUUCUGAACAUGAUAAACUCUGACAGAAGUAUAAUCCGCAGUGUAUACUUUUUUAUUUGUACUGAAGAAAUGCAUCUUAUAAUGGUUUUGCCAUGGUCGAUGCAGGACCCCGACCACUACAGCCUGCGGAACCGCGGCCUGUGCCUGGUGCCGGUAGAGCAGACGCUGCAGCUGACCCAGAGCAACGGGGCCGACCUCUGGGCGCCGGCGAACACCACCAGACGCACCUGAAGUGAAGCCCGAGGCAGGCCUCGACGGCGGCGAUGGCCGCACUGCGUGGCAGGGGUAGAAUUCCGGUGCAAGCGCGCGCAUGCGCAUGGCUGACCCAAUUCGGUCAAUCUCCUAACACAAUCGUUUCGUUUCGUUUAUGUGAACCUCCUCAACAGGCCCUGUGCUGGCGCCGGUAGUAUGUAAUGUGUAAUCGUCGUGUAUAGCGAGACGACGCACCGCCGAUCGAUGGAUCGAUCGGUCCCCGUGGUCGUUGCGUGGGUGACUCUGUGGUUUAACAUUGGUAGCGACCUGUUGCUGUCGCCGACUAAUCAUCAAAAGCAGCAGUUUCAUUCAUGCCCGUCCGUGCUCAUCAACCCUUGUAGUACUAGAGAGUAUCAACAUGCGGUGCAUGCAUUUGUGCGGGGUGCGAUUCUCCGGGUCCCUGUCGCCUGUCGGCGCCAUGUUCAGGUGUGCUGAAAAACUGCAUUU